UGGGGAAUCUUCCGCAAUGGACGAAAGUCUGACGGAGCAACGCCGCGUGAGUGAUGAAGGCCUUCGGGUUGUAAAACUCUGUUGUCAGGGACGAACGUGCCGAUCUACAAUACAUUUCGGCAGUGACGGUACCUGACGAGGAAGCCACGGCUAACUACGUGCCAGCAGCCGCGGUAAUACGUAGGUGGCAAGCGUUGUCCGGAAUUAUUGGGCGUAAAGAGCAUGUAGGCGGGCUUUUAAGUCCGACGUGAAAAUGCGGGGCUUAACCCCGUAUGGCGUUGGAUACUGGAAGUCUUGAGUGCAGGAGAGGAAAGGGGAAUUCCCAGUGUAGCGGUGAAAUGCGUAGAUAUUGGGAGGAACACCAGUGGCGAAGGCGCCUUUCUGGACUGUGUCUGACGCUGAGAUGCGAAAGCCAGGGUAGCAAACG
rnacentral:rRNA from 1 species